AGACUCGUUGGGUUGUCUUGUCASCUKAWRYCGACGGASGAUGGGAGCUUGCUCCCUGAUGUUAGCGGCGGAGGGUGAGAAGCGUGGGURACCKGCCUGUAWRACURGGAUAACUCCGGGAAACCRGGGCUAAUACCGGAUGGUUGUUUGAACCGCAUGGUUCAAACAUAAAAGGUGGCUUCGGCUACCACUUACAGAUGGACCCGCGGCGCAUUAGCUAGUUGGUGAGGUAACGGCUCACCAAGGCGACGAUGCGUAGCCGACCUGAGAGGGUGAUCGGCCACACUGGGACUGAGACACGGCCCAGACUCCUACGGGAGGCAGCAGUAGGGAAUCUUCCGCAAUGGACGAAAGUCUGACGGAGCAACGCCGCGUGAGUGAUGAAGGUUUUCGGAUCGUAAAGCUCUGUUGUUAGGGAAGAACAAGUACCGUUCGAAUAGGGCGGUACCUUGACGGUACCUAACCAGAAAGCCACGGCUAACUACGUGCCAGCAGCCGCGGUAAUACGUAGGUGGCAAGCGUUGUCCGGAAUUAUUGGGCGUAAAGGGCUCGCAGGCGGUUUCUUAAGUCUGAUGUGAAAGCCCCCGGCUCAACCGGGGAGGGUCAUUGGAAACUGGGGAACUUGAGUGCAGAAGAGGAGAGUGGAAUUCCACGUGUAGCGGUGAAAUGCGUAGAGAUGUGGAGGAACACCAGUGGCGAAGGCGACUCUCUGGUCUGUAACUGACGCUGAGGAGCGAAAGCGUGGGGAGCGAACAGGAUUAGAUACCCUGGUAGUCCACGCCGUAAACGAUGAGUGCUAAGUGUUAGGGGGGUUUCCGCCCCUUAGUGCUGCAGCUAACGCAUUAAGCACUCCGCCUGGGGGAGUACGGUCGCAAGACUGAACUCAAGGUAUUUGACGGGGACCGYCMCAAGYCUCUGUARGCCAU
rnacentral:rRNA from 1 species